rnacentral:lncRNA from 1 species
AACCGGGAAGAGGAAUAGCAAUCAAAAUGUAAAUAAGAAAUACUCAAGUUAAUAAAGAUAAAAAAGAAUGAAAAAGAAAGAAAGAAAAUGGGAAAACCUGGAAGGGGUCUUACUAGUGUGCACCCAGGGUGCUAUAGAUAGAAGCCAUCUUUGGAAAUGAAGUAUUUUAGACUGGUCUAAAGGUCAGAACCUCCUGCAUAUUCCUCUCUGAAAUUACAGAUAUUAUUGGCUUGUGUUAGCUACCUGUGACUCCAACUUGGCACAGCAGAAUGUGUAAACUGGGAGAUGGGGCAUGUGUCAUCUGAGAGCAAGGAUGUGAUCAGAGCUGACCCUGUGCCACAGCUCUACAUACCCAAAUUUUGCCCAGAGAAAGCUGGUCUCUCAGGAGUGCUGACACACUGCUUAUAGGAGGGACAAGCCACAGUUAGAGACAGAAAGACCAGUUAACACCAGAGAUAACCAGAUGGCAAGAGGCAAGUGCAAGAACAUAAACAACAAAAACCAAGGCCACUUCACAUCAUCAGAACCCAGUUCUCCCACCACAGCAAGCCCUGGAUACCCCAACACACUGGAAAAGCAAAAUUCUGAUUUAAAAUCACAUCUCAUGAUGAUGAUAGAGAACUUUAGGAAGGACAUAAAUAACUCCCUUAAAGAAAUACAGGCGAAGUUUAAAAUUCUCAGGUUAAGUGUCAGAAAUAGUAUGAGAUUUUUCUUUUAGGAAAAAAAAACAUACACACACACAAAAAACCAACAUGGUCUAGCUGCCAACUGUGAGUUAAAACUCAAGGCUCAUUAUGAAGCCUAAAAGUAUUCACAAAUGAGUUUGAAGCUGGUGUCUUUAGAAGGGAGGUAGAAAAAAAAAAAAAAGAA